rnacentral:sRNA from 12 species
GACCUAACCCCUUCAGAUCCCUGGAGGAUAUGGUCGGGAAAACCCAACGAAGAUACUGAACCCCGCGUUCAGCGACUCUUCGUUGGGUCAUAUCGGGAAACCGGUAUGGGGCCGUAAGGCCU